rnacentral:rRNA from 1 species
GACGAACGCUGGCGGCGGGCUUAACACAUGCAAGUCGAACAGUGGCGGACGGGUGAGUAAUGCUUGGGAAUCUGGCUUAUGGAGGGGGAUAACUACGGGAAACUGUAGCUAAUACCGCGUACAAUAGGAUGAGCCCAAGUGGGAUUAGGUAGUUGGUGAGGUAAAUGCUCACCAGGCCGACGAGCUCUAGCUGGUCUGAGAGGAUGACCAGCCACACUGGGACUGAGACACGGCCCAGACUCCUACGGGAGGCAGCAGUGGGGAAUAUUGCGCAAUGGGGGAAACCUGACGCAGCCAUGCCGCGUGAAUGAAGAAGGCCUUCGGGUUGUAAAGUUCUUUCGGUAGCGAGGCGUUAACUACAGAAGAAGCACCGGCUAACUCCGUGCCAGCAGCCGCGGUAAUAC